GAUGAAGAACGUAGCGAAAUGCGAUAAGUAAUGUGAAUUGCAGAAUUCAGAGAAUCAUCGAAUCUUUGAACGCACAUUGCGCCCGCCAGUAUUCUGGCGGGCAUGCCUGUUCGAGCGUCAUUACAACCCUCAGGCCCCCGGGCCUGGCGUUGGGGAUCGGCGGAGCCCCCCGUGGGCACACGCCGUCCCCCAAAUGCAGUGGCGGUCCCGCCGCAGCUUCCAUCGCGUAGUAGCUAACACCUCGCGACUGGAGAGCGGCGCGGCCACGCCGUAAAACACCCAACUCUUCUGAAGUUGACCUCGAAUCAGGUAGGAAUACCCGCUGAACUUAAGCAUAUCAAUAAGCGGAGGA
rnacentral:misc_RNA from 1 species